ensembl:lncRNA
CCAGAAGGAAAUAGACUUCAGGCAGCAUGCAAAGCCCUGUCUCACACUGAGCCCAUCCUGAUUGGACCAAUUUCACACAUGCCUGUGGUCAUUGACUUCUGGGAGCCAUAAUUUCCUUUACUUCAUCAUCAUCAGACCCAGGCAACCAGUUUCAAUAUGCAUUGGACAUUGAAAAUGCCAAGAGUUUUAAGGAGGAGUGCAAUCACUCACCUUUACAUGAAAAUAUAUUCAGCAGAUCCAAGAAAGUCUUCUCUAUGUGUUAGCAGUUUGGGCUGCUGUGUAAGCCCAAACCAACACAGCUGUUAGCAAUAAGGGGCUGCCUGUGGAAUUCAGGACUGAGGCCAGAUUUGCCUCUGUAGCACAUCUUUUUUUAAGCACACGAUUCCAUAUUUCACUUCUUGACUUGAUUUCGUGGAACCCAGAUAUUGCUAC